rnacentral:rRNA from 1 species
UACGUAGGGAGCGAGCGUUAUCCGGAAUUAUUGGGUGUAAAGGGUGCGUAGACGGGAGAACAAGUUAGUUGUGAAAUACCUCGGCUCAACUGAGGAACUGCAACUAAAACUGUACUUCUUGAGUGCAGGAGAGGUAAGUGGAAUUCCUAGUGUAGCGGUGAAAUGCGUAGAUAUUAGGAGGAACACCAGUGGCGAAGGCGACUUACUGGACUGUAACUGACGUUGAGGCACGAAAGUGUGGGGAGCAAACAGG